UACGGGGGGGGCAAGCGUUGUUCGGAAUUACUGGGCGUAAAGGGCUCGUAGGCGGCCAACUAAGUCGGAUGUGAAAUCCCCAGGCUCAACUUGGGAACUGCAUCCGAUACUGGAUGGCUUGAAUUCGGGAGAGGGAUGCAGAAUUCCAGGUGUAGCGGUGAAAUGCGUAGAUGUCUGGAGGAAUACCGGUGGCGAAGGCGGCAUCCUGGACCGACAUUGACGCUGAGGAGCGAAAGCUAGGGGAGCAAACGGG
rnacentral:rRNA from 1 species